UGCUGGACAACAAAGCACGGGUUC
rnacentral:miRNA from 1 species